GAUGAACGCUGGCGGCGUGCUUAACACAUGCAAGUCGAACGGGAAACCUUUUAUUGAAGCUUCGGCAGAUUUAGCUGGUUUCUAGUGGCGGACGGGUGAUUAACGCGUGGGUAACCUGCCCUAUACAGGGGGAUAACAACCAGAAAUGGUUGCUAAUACCGCAUAAGCGCACAGGGCCGCAUGGUCCGGUGUGAAAAACUCCGGUGGUAUAGGAUGGACCCGCGUUGGAUUAGCCAGUUGGCAGGGUAACGGCCUACCAAAGCGACGAUCCAUAGCCGGCCUGAGAGAGUGAACGGCCACAUUGGGACUGAGACACGGCCCAGACUCCUACGGGAGGCAGCAGUGGGGAAUAUUGCACAAUGGGGGAAACCCUGAUGCAGCGACGCCGCGUGAAGGAAGAAGUAUCUCGGUAUGUAAACUUCUAUCAGCAGGGAAGAUAGUGACGGUACCUGACGAAGAAGCCCCGGCUAACUACGUG
rnacentral:rRNA from 1 species